rnacentral:sRNA from 1 species
UUAAAAAACUAAGAAUCCUAGACAUAGCUGGAAAUAUUAUUCAGAUAUUUCCAUCAGGAAAAUGGCCAGGUAUGGUGGCUCACGGCUGCAAUCCCAGCAUUUUGGGAGGCUGUGGCGGGAGGAUUGCUUUUGAUUCCAUGAGUUCAAGAUCAGCCUGGACAACAUGGUGAAACCCCUAUCUCUACAAAACAAACAAACCACCAAAAAAAUUAGCUGGGUAUAGUGGUACACCCUGUGGUCCCAGUUACUUGAGGUGAAAGUAUCACUCAAGCCUGGGAGGUAGAGGUUGCAGUAAGCUGAGAUCAUACUCCAGCCUGGGCAACACAGUGAGACCCUGUCUUAAAAAAAAAAAAAAAAGAAAUAUCUUGGUUCUUUUAUGAACAUGUAGUCAGAUCUGCUACAGAGAGACUUUAGCUUUUUUCCUUACCUCUUUUUUCCUUUCUUUUAUUUUAACUUAAAAAAAUUAAAUUAAAACUUAAAAAUUUUGUAAGUUGUA